rnacentral:rRNA from 1 species
GGCGUCGACCUAAUACAUGCAAGUCGAGCGGAAUGAUGAAGAGCUUGCUUCUUCUGUAUUUAGCGGCGGACGGGUGAGUAACACGGUGGACAACCUACUUGUAGAGUUGGAUAACGUCGGAAACCGGGGCUAAUACCGAAUAAUCCAUUUUGCUUCAUGGCGAGAUGUUGAAAGACGGUUUCGGCUGUCACUACAAGAUGGGCCCGCGGCGCAUUAGCUAGUUGGUAGGGUAAUGGCCUACCAAGGCGACGAUGCGUAGCCGACCUGAGAGGGUGAUCGGCCACACUGGGACUGAGACACGGCCCAGACUCCUACGGGAGGCAGCAGUAGGGAAUCUUCCACAAUGGACGAAAGUCUGAUGGAGCAACGCCGCGUGAGUGAAGAAGGUUUUCGGAUCGUAAAACUCUGUUGUAAGGGAAGAACACGUACGAGAGUAACUGCUCGUACCUUGACGGUACCUUAUUAGAAAGCCACGGCUAACUACGUG